CGACGCGCGGUAAACGUUCCUCGAUCGUUCUGAAAAAUGAAUUACGCCCUAAAAGGUCCACGUGUAGAGCGAGUUUAUCGCCUUGGACACGCGAUACCGCCAUAACUUCUCGUCCAAGUCUCAUCCUCUUUGCGACCAAGGGAUUAACGAACUCAACGUUAUUUAUCAUGCCAACCUUUGCUUCGUUUCCUCCUUCGUCCCAUUGCGAUCCAUUCUCUAUUGCACGAUCGAAU